GUGCUUCGGCAGCACAUAUACUAAAAUUGGAAUGGUACACAGAAGAUUAGCAUGGCCCCUGUGCAAGGAUGACAGGCAAAUUCGUGAAGCGUUCCAUAUUUAA
rnacentral:snRNA from 1 species